rnacentral:rRNA from 1 species
GAUGAACGCUGGCGGCGUGCCUAAUACAUGCAAGUCGAGCGAACAGACGAGGAGCUUGCUCCUCUGACGUUAGCGGCGGACGGGUGAGUAACACGUGGAUAACCUACCUAUAAGACUGGGAUAACUUCGGGAAACCGGAGCUUAUACCGGAUAAUAUAUUGAACCGCAUGGUUCAAUAGUGAAAGACGGUUUUGCUGUCACUUAUAGAUGGAUCCGCGCCGCAUUAGCUAGUUGGUAAGGUAACGGCUUACCAAGGCAACGAUGCGUAGCCGACCUGAGAGGGUGAUCGGCCACACUGGAACUGAGACACGGUCCAGACUCCUACGGGAGGCAGCAGUAGGGAAUCUUCCGCAAUGGGCGAAAGCCUGACGGAGCAACGCCGCGUGAGUGAUGAAGGUCUUCGGAUCGUAAAACUCUGUUAUUAGGGAAGAACAAAUAUGUAAGUAACUAUGCACGUCUUGACGGUACCUAAUCAGAAAGCCACGGCUAACUACGUG